UCAAAAACAUCGCCUCUUGAUAAAAUAUAAGAGGUCCAGCCUGCCCAGUGACAAAAUUUAACGGCCGCGGUACCCUGACCGUGCGAAGGUAGCAUAAUCACUUGUUCUUUAAAUAGGGACUAGUAUCAACGGCAUCACGAGGGUUACACUGUCUCCUUUCUCCAAUCAGUGAAACUGAUCUUCCCGUGAAGAAGCGGGAAUACACCCAUAAGACGAGAAGACCCCAUGGAGCUUUAAAUUUCACAGCAACUCAGUCACAUAAAUCCUUAUAAUUAACAGAGUUAUGCAUGCCAAUUUUAGGUUGGGGUGACCGCGGAGUAUAAGACAACCUCCACAUCGAAAAGAACUAAAUCUUUAUUUAAGAGCUACAACUCUAAAAAUUAGUAUACUAACGAAUAAUGAUCCGAUAAUCGAUCAACGGACCAAGUUACCCUGGGGAUAACAGCGCAAUCUACUUCAAGAGCCCAUAUCGACAAGUAGGCUUACGACCUCGAUGUUGGAUCAGGGUAUCCUAGUGGUGCAGCCGCUACUAAUGGUUCGUUUGUUCAACGAUUAAAACCCUACGUGAUCUGAGUUCAGACCGGA
rnacentral:rRNA from 1 species